CCUACGGGAGGCAGCAGUGGGGAAUAUUGGACAAUGGGGGCAACCCUGAUCCAGCCAUGCCGCGUGUGUGAAGAAGGCCCUCGGGUUGUAAAGCACUUUCAGUGAGGAAGAACGCCUGGUGGUUAAUACCCAUCAGGAAAGACAUCACUCACAGAAGAAGCACCGGCUAACUCCGUGCCAGCAGCCGCGGUAAUACGGAGGGUGCGAGCGUUAAUCGGAAUUACUGGGCGUAAAGCGCGCGUAGGUGGCUUGAUAAGCCGGGUGUGAAAGCCCCGGGCUCAACCUGGGAACGGCAUCCGGAACUGUCAAGCUAGAGUGCAGGAGAGGAAGGUAGAAUUCCCGGUGUAGCGGUGAAAUGCGUAGAGAUCGGGAGGAAUACCAGUGGCGAAGGCGGCCUUCUGGACUGACACUGACACUGAGGUGCGAAAGCGUGGGUAGCAAACAGGAUUAGAUACCCGAGUAGUC
rnacentral:rRNA from 1 species